CGGCAUCGUUCGACUUUUAAACAUUUAUGGGUUACAGAUGGGCAUGCGUUUCAUUAGGUAGUUGGUGAGGUAACGGCUCACCAAGCCGACGAUGAAUAGGGGUUCUGAGAGGAAGGUCCCCCACACUGGUACUGAGACACGGACCAGACUCCUACGGGAGGCAGCAGUGAGGAAUAUUGGUCAAUGGACGCAAGUCUGAACCAGUCGCGUGAAGGAUGAAGGUAUUAUGUAUUGUAAACUUCUUUUAUAUAAUGACCGUUACGAGUAACGGGAGCGAAUGUACCUGAUGAAUAAGCAUCGGCUAACUCCGUGCCAGCAGCCCGCGGUGAUACGGAGGAUGCGAGCGUUAUCCGGAUUUAUUGGGUUUAAAGGGUGCGUAGGCGGUUUGUUAAGUCAGUGGUGAAAGUUUGCGGCUCAACCCGUAAAAUUGCCAUUGAGAACUUUGAGUACAGUA
rnacentral:rRNA from 1 species